GACGAACCGGAGCAAACGUUAUUCGGAAUCACUGGGCUUAAAGGGCGCGUAGGCGGGUACUCAAGUCUGUGGUGAAAUCCGGCAGCUUAACUGUCGAACUGCCGUGGAUACUGGGUACCUCGAGGAAGGUAGGGGCAUGCGGAACUAUUGGUGGAGCGGUGAAAUGCGUUGAUAUCAAAUAGGAACUCCGGUGGCGAAGGCGGCAUGCUGGACCUUUUCUGACGCUGAGGCGCGAAAGCCAGGGGAGCAAACGGG
rnacentral:rRNA from 1 species